CUGGCAGUGACAUCACAGGCCAGCCUACUUACACUGAAUAAAACCAGAUGGAGGAGAAAACUCUGUCUCUUUGCCUGUACCUGACUGAACCUAAGAUGUAGUACCAGCUCUGACUUAACCCCAGCCAAAGGGCUGGGGCCUUGUAAGUAAAAUGUUGUGUAACAUGUAGCAACCUUUUGUAAGUAAUAUGUUGUAGUUUUGUAUUGUAUCACAAUUGUAGUAAAUUGACAUUCUGCUAGCAUCUGUUUAUUUGUUAUAGUUAUAUUAAAUAUACAUUUAAUAUUACAACGUUUUGUGUAUUUUCUAUCCACAUAUUCUACCAUAAUACCAUGAAUUAUAAAAAUAUUAAUGUUGUUCCGUAUUGCUUAAUUAUUAUGUAUUAAGAGAUUAAUAUUCAUAUUUAGGUCACGACCACAACAACACUACAUGGGGAAACACAUAUAAAUUACAUAUUUGAUAAUACACAGUGUGGCCCAUAAGUAGGUAUACAGUAUAGUUUAUUUGCAUUUUAUUACAUUUAUAUUUGUUUAACAUUAUUUAAUCUCGUAAGUGCUUGAAAUGUCUUCCACCAACGAUGCAGCAUUCCUCGAAUCCUGUCCAGUACACUGUGACACACAGAAUGAAACAAAUUCCAUUCCGCAUCAAUGUCCAUAAAUGCUCCCGGGUUGUCCACUGUCUGGGUCUUCCUGUUACACAUCUUAUUCUUCACUACACCCCAAGAAAAGAAAUCCAUUGGUCUUAUGUCCAGUGAACAUGGCGGCCAUUUAAUGCUGCCCUGUCGUCUGAUCCAAAGCUGCGGAAAAGUGUUGUCAAAGUAAUCCCUUACAACAAAAGUAUAGUGAGGAGGUGCCCCAUCUUUUUUGAAGAGCAGCUUGGCGAAUUUAGCCUUGCUUCUUACUUGUUGCACUACCAUGUUGUGCAACAAGUAAGUAACAAGCAAGCAAUGUUACUAUCCACAGUACUAUCAAAGAAAACUGGUCCUACAGCACCUUUGGUGGACAGUGCACCCCGCACUGUGCACCCCGCACUGUGACGCCUGGCUGGUUCAGUUGAGAUGUGAUAGUCAAAUGAGGAUUUUCAUCUCCCCAAUACACACAGUUAUGUCUGUUCACGUGGCCUGACAAUUUGAAAGAAGCCUUAUGUGACCAGAUGAUGUUAUCAAAAAGAUUUGGUUCGUUAGAGGUUUGGUUACCCACAGAAUUGCAACCAACGGUCUUUCAAUUUACGCAUUAAGCUCUGCAAGGACGUUCUUGGAAUGGAUAUCUGCAGAGAUGCAUAUCAUGUGGACUUUUUCGGACUGUUCACAAGUGUCAAAGCAACUCCAAUCUCAUUUUCCUCUGUCAUAGACGUCCUAGGAUGUCCAGAUUUUGGUGCGUUAGUCACUGCACCCGUUUCUUCAGAUUUAUCUCUAAUACAAUAAAUGGCCAGUCAUAUUGGGGGAGGAGUGUCAAAUGCUUCUUAACACGCUUUGCGCACUUGCUCUGCAUUUCUUACUUUUCCAUAACAGUUUUAGCCUUGACUACCAGGCUGUAUCUACCAAAAAUAAAACCACAUGGCACAGACAUAGUGGAUAGAAAAGGCAACAACCAUUUUAUUUAUUUUAUUUGCAAAAUUUGGUAAUUGCCCUUAUAACAUUACAUAUACAUUGUACCUUUAAUAACUUAGCAAUAACAUAGGUUUAACAUAACCAUGUAUAACUUGCAUACCAUAAUUAACAUAACAAUUUAACCUUUUCCAGCACCCAGCUUGCUCCCAGAGAUCCCACGUGUUUGAACCGCUCCAACUGCUGGGACAGAACCGCCUGCCCUGCCUCCAAUUAGGCUGCGAGCCC